GAACGUUACCAAACUGUUGCCUCGGCGGGAUCUCUGCCCCGGGUGCGUCGCAGCCCCGGACCAAGGCGCCCGCCGGAGGACCAACCAAAACUCUUUUUGUAUACCCCCUCGCGGGUUUUUUAUAAUCUGAGCCUUCUCGGCGCCUCUCGUAGGCGUUUCGAAAAUGAAUCAAAACUUUCAACAACGGAUCUCUUGGUUCUGGCAUCGAUGAAGAACGCAGCGAAAUGCGAUAAGUAAUGUGAAUUGCAGAAUUCAGUGAAUCAUCGAAUCUUUGAACGCACAUUGCGCCCGCCAGUAUUCUGGCGGGCAUGCCUGUCCGAGCGUCAUUUCAACCCUCGAACCCCUCCGGGGGGUCGGCGUUGGGGAUCGGCCCUCCCUUAGCGGGUGGCCGUCUCCGAAAUACAGUGGCGGUCUCGCCGCAGCCUCUCCUGCGCAGUAGUUUGCACACUCGCAUCGGGAGCGCGGCGCGUCCACAGCCGUUAAACACCCAACUUCUGAAAAUGUUGACCUCGGAUCAGGUAGGAAUCCCCGCUGAACUUAA
rnacentral:rRNA from 1 species